rnacentral:lncRNA from 1 species
AACGCGCUUGAAUUUGAGCCCACACGGCAUGUAAUUUUUCGGUGUGAACAUCGCCUGCAGUCGAGAGUUGCCGAACGUUGACAUACGACGGAGCGUCGAAGAAAGUCGAAGAUUAACGAACCAGUCUCCUGCCGACCGUCGCCGAUCGCUAACGUUCGUUUGGCUGCUUCUUCUGGACACCGGGAUAUAAUAUUUUGCGUAGCUUCGAGGUACGAGGGUCUACAAGUACAAGGAUGGAAGAAUUUUCGCAUGGCGGACAUUAAAAGAGGGCGCCGAAAGUUGCGGAAAAUUUGACGAAAAAGAAGCGGAAAUGGUGUUCGACUCGUCGGUGAAAAGCAGCCACUUAUGAGAGACUGAAAUCCUUGGAGAAGUUUCCCCGAGGGCAUCGAGGAGGGAGAGCCUGGUCUUCUCACUUCCGUCGAGGUGAAGUCGAUCGACGUGUCCGUUUCCAAAGUCCUUGCCCGAGGUACUCUGUGGACUUGGAAAGAAGCAGCCUGUAAGGAAUGCGGGUCUGAUCGUAAGGGAAUGGUUCCCGACAACUUCCGUCGAAGCACAAUCCUCUACCAGCGAAAAGGAAGCGAGAAAUACCUUAAAACUGGUAACAACCGACGAGAAUACGGAGACAUCUAAAAUUCCAUGUGAAAAGCAACGAGAAAACUUGAGAGAGCGGAUGUUCCUUUUUCCGUGCAACGGAGAAAAGUUCCUUCGAGACUCACCAUCGGCCGAGGGUCGCGACACGGAGGGACGUUCACGGUCGCCUGGCUGUCCGAAGUUCAAGGAACGUCCACGGUGCACCGAGCGAUGGAGAAAACUCGUCUUCCGUCACUUCACAAAGCCGUGCCACCCCGGAAGCGGUAAUCUCGUGGUCGCGGUUCGCGGCGAGCUCGAGGAUCGUGCCGUUCGGCCAAACGCGUAUACGAUGGAGUGCGUCGCGACGCCGCGUGCCGACUGAAGCCGUCGUUUUUCCUUCUGGAGCCACGGAAUCGCGUGGAGGGGGUCGGGGAUUGCCUCGACCAACUCCGACUGGACUUGCCAACAAACCCACCGCAGGAGCGUCCUGCGACGCUCUAAUUCCACGUCCUUAAUCCAGCAGAUUAGAUCCGACAAACUACAGCGAACGAAAAGCCGACAGAAAAAAGGAAACAGGAACCAGCAGCCAGGGGGACGAAGCGAGAAUACAUGAGCCACCCUUCGACAUCCCCUAACCUCAAGCUACACCAACGUCGCCGAGCGUGUCAUCCGGCUCGUCGUCAGCUGCUUUUUGCCAAACCACGGAACACCGUUCUCGACUUUCGCCACGGGAAGAAGAAGAAAUGAAAUUGCUGUCUGGAACGAAUCGAAGAAAUUCAGGAAACCCCAGCGCCUGGAUGUCUCACCCCAUAUGCACCCUUUGUGUACACGUAUCCCUGUUUCCCAGCGGGACACGUACACGAUAACCGAACAACGAGUCACGGCGUCCCUCGUUCCUAUCCAAUUAAGGUUCACGAGGCAGCCCUUCUGUCCCUUGGGAUGCGGUUUCCGCAUGCGAAUGCCAUACGGAACACCUCGAAUGGCUCGAUCAACCUCGUCCAUCUAUGAUAGAUCAUCGAUCCAGAGCUACUUCCGUGACUCCGUGACGAACAUCGAGGUAGGAGGUAGCUCUUGGAGAGUCGAGUUCCUGCUGGCCCGUGGUCAAUUUCGUCGCUACCGGAAAGGUCGCUGACCGACUGUUAUUGCUCCCAGUGAACUAUUUAGUCCGCGGAAUUACAAAAGCACCCUCCCGCUGUUUACCCUCUCCAACCCUCGCACAAAGUCUUUUAAUAAUUCCAUCCAGGGUCAUUUAUUCGUUUGGGCCGGAGGUGAACGCUCCAUGGCGAGGGUCGCCAGGUCCGCAGGUGUAAGGGUUUUUCUUGGGGUUAGAGCUCUUUCACACGACAAU